AAUAAAAAACAGUCAUAUUCGGGAAUUAGACUGAACAAAUGGUUUAAAGGAAUAAGUAUACACAUCUUUCUUUAUCUAUAUACACAUGUAUAACUAAAAUUGAUGAAUGACAAAACGUUGAUCUACAAAUUAAUGCAUAUCAGAUGUUAAAGACAACCACGUCAACUCUUCUCUUUUUUAGUUAUGAUUGAUUAAUUGUUUGAUCGCUAAAAUUUCAAAUCUGUCUAUAUAUUUUACAACAAUCGUAAGCAUACACGUUAAUCAACAGUGCAAUUCGCGGGUACUUGUUUUUUUUUAAAUUUCGUUUGUCUACGAUAACAUAAAAUAAUUGAAUGUAAUAACUCCUUCAACAUGUAAACGGACUACUGUGCCUGGGGGUUGACUUUGUUCUAUUUUAUAGGAGCAAGACGUCAGCCAUGAAAAUUUUCUAAGCGUGGAUUUUAACAUUAUGGAUAACAACCGUUUAAUUUUUUAUCAUUCUUAGGCAUGAGUAAUAUAGUUUUACUACGAAGACUUGAGUUGUAAUUUCAAAACUUAACAUUUGUCAUCUGAUAGAUCAGAGGUCAAGGUUAGUUUUCGUUAGUAAUUAACAGUACUAAGAAUAAUUUACAUAAUUAUACUGGUUAUAUAUGCGCGUGAAAUCCUUAAGCAGUUUAAAUGGAAGGGUUUCGUUAUACCAUGUACAGAACGUGUUGAGUUGUCAGUUCAUCACACAGUCAUAUCGUAGGUACACCAUAGCUUCAGCGUACAGUUUAAUUUAUUGUAAUAUUUAUGAUUACGAAUCAUAAAGACUUUUAAGUUACAUAUAAUGAGCGUUGAACAAUUUUGUUCUUUGCCCAUGUAAAAG
rnacentral:lncRNA from 1 species